UGCCCAGUUAGUCAAGGUCCUAGCUACUAGA
rnacentral:piRNA from 1 species